rnacentral:rRNA from 1 species
AUUGAACGCUGGCGGCAGGCCUAACACAUGCAAGUCGAGCGAGCGGCGGACGGGUGAGUAAUGUAUGGGGACUGCCCGAUAGAGGGGGAUAACUACUGGAAACGGUAGCUAAUACCGCAUACCAUCGGAUUACCCAGAUGGGAUUAGCUAGUAGGUGAGGUAAUGGCUCACCUAGGCGACGAUCCCUAGCUGGUCUGAGAGGAUGAUCAGCCACAAUGGAACGGAGACACGGCCCAGACUCCUACGGAGGCAGCAGUGGGGAAUAUUGCACAAUGGGCGCAAGCCUGAUGCAGCCAUGCAGCGUGUAUGAAGAAGGCCCUAGGGUUGUAAAGUACUUUCAGUCGGGAGGCGUUACCGACAGAAGAAGCACCGGCUAACUCCGUGCCAGCCGCCGCGGUAAUUC